rnacentral:rRNA from 1 species
AUUGAACGCUGGCGGCAGGCCUAACACAUGCAAGUCGAGCGGAUGAAGGGAGCUUGCUCCUGGAUUCAGCGGCGGACGGGUGAGUAAUGCCUAGGAAUCUGCCUGGUAGUGGGGGAUAACGUCCGGAAACGGGCGCUAAUACCGCAUACGUCCUGAGGGAGAAAGUGGGGGAUCUUCGGACCUCACGCUAUCAGAUGAGCCUAGGUCGGAUUAGCUAGUUGGUGGGGUAAAGGCCUACCAAGGCGACGAUCCGUAACUGGUCUAAGAGGAUGACCAGUCACACUGGAACUGAGACACGGUCCAGACUCCUACGGGAGGCAGCAGUGGGGAAUAUUGGACAAUGGGCGAAAGCCUGAUCCAGCCAUGCCGCGUGUGUGAAGAAGGUCUUCGGAUUGUAAAGCACUUUAAGUUGGGAGGAAGGGCAGUAAGUUAAUACCUUGCUGUUUUGACGUUACCAACAGAAUAAGCACCGGCUAACUUCGUG